GAUGAACGCUGGCGGCGUGCUUAACACAUGCAAGUCGAACGGGAAUUACUUUAUUGAAACUUCGGUCGAUAUGAUUUAAUUCUAGUGGCGGACGGGUGAGUAACGCGUGGGUAACCUGCCUUAUACAGGGGGAUAACAGUCAGAAAUGACUGCUAAUACCGCAUAAGCGCACAGAGCUGCAUGGCUCGGUGUGAAAAACUCCGGUGGUAUAAGAUGGACCCGCGUUGGAUUAGCUAGUUGGUGAGGUAACGGCCCACCAAGGCGACGAUCCAUAGCCGGCCUGAGAGGGUGAACGGCCACAUUGGGACUGAGACACGGCCCAGACUCCUACGGGAGGCAGCAGUGGGGAAUAUUGCACAAUGGGGGAAACCCUGAUGCAGCGACGCCGCGUGAAGGAAGAAGUAUCUCGGUAUGUAAACUUCUAUCAGCAGGGAAGAAAAUGACGGUAC
rnacentral:rRNA from 1 species